UACGGAGGGGGCUAGCGUUAUUCGGAAUUACUGGGCGUAAAGCGCACGUAGGCGGAUUAACAAGUCAGAGGUGAAAUCCCAGGGCUCAACCUUGGAACUGCCUUUGAAACUGUUAGUCUUGAGGUCGUGAGAGGUAAGUGGAAUUCCGAGUGUAGAGGUGAAAUUCGUAGAUAUUCGGAGGAACACCAGUGGCGAAGGCGGCUUACUGGCACGAUACUGACGCUGAGGCACGAAAGUGUGGGUAUCCAACAGG
rnacentral:rRNA from 1 species